rnacentral:rRNA from 1 species
UGGCGCACGGGUGAGUAAUGUAUAGCUAACGUACCCUUGGGACCGGGAUAGCUAUCCGAAAGGAUAGGUAAUACCGGGUAACAUGACCGGAAGGCAUCUUCUGGUUCUCAUCAGCCGCAAGGCGCCUGGGGAUCGGGCUAUAUCGUAUCAGCUAGUUGGUAGGGUAACGGCCUACCAAGGCGACGACGCGUAGCCGGACUGAGAGGUCGGUCGGCCACAUCGGGACUGAGACACUGCCCGGACUCCUACGGGGGGCUGCAGUAACGAAUCUUCCCCAAUGCACGAAAGUGUGAGGGAGCGACGCUGCGUGGAGGAUGAAGUCCUUCGGGAUGUAAACUCCUGUCGGGGGAUACCAAGUUCUGAGGAUCCCCAAAGGAAGAGGCGGCUAACUCUGUGCCAGCAGCCGCGGUAAUACAGAGGCCUCAAGCGUUAGGCGGAAUCACUGGGCUUAAAGCGUGUGUAGGCGGAUCGUUAAGUGCCUUGUGAGAUACCACGGCUCAACCGUGGAACUGCUUGGCAUACUGGCGAUCUUGAGCCACCCAAGGGCAACUGGAACAAACGGUGGAGCGGUGAAAUGCAUAGAUAUCGUUUGGAACGCCAAGGGUGAAGACAGGUUGCUGGGGGUGCGCUGACGCUGAGACACGAAAGCCAGGGGAGCAAACGGGAUUAGAUACCCCGGUAGUCCUGGCCCUAAACGAUGUCCACUAGAUUAUGGGACUUUUGACGGUUUCAUGGU